GACGUAGGGCGCGAGCGUUGUCCGGAUUUAUUGGGCGUAAAGAGCUCGUAGGCGGCUUGUUGCGUCGACCGUGAAAACCCGCGGCUUAACUGUGGGCUUGCGGUCGAUACGGGCGGGCUGGAGUUCGGUAGGGGAGACUGGAAUUCCUGGUGUAGCGGUGAAAUGCGCAGAUAUCAGGAGGAACACCGGUGGCGAAAGCGCUCUACUGGACUGCAACUGACACUCAGGGACGAAAGCUAGGGGAGCGAAUGGG
rnacentral:rRNA from 1 species